AUAAUCGUGCUGCUUAUUGAUUAUUAUUAUGUUAUUAUUUAUAUAGCGCUAACAAAUUCUGCAGCGCUUUACAAAUAGGUGGACGAACAGACAAGUAGUUGUAACCAGACAAGUUGGACACACAGGAAAAGAGGGUUUGAGGGCCUGUUCAAUGAGCUUACAUGCUAGAGGGAGUGGUGUAAAGUGACACAAAAGGUAAGGAUAGUAUUAGACUAAUGACAGUUGUAAGAGAGAAAUCAGUCGGGAGCUAUUAACAGUUUAAUUGAUACGCUUUUAUGAAGAAGUGGGUUUUUAAUGAUUUUUUGAAGGAGUGGAGACUGGGUAGGGAAGUGAGUUCCACAGGAACGGUGCAGCCCUCGAGAAGUCUUGAAGGCAAGUAUCAGAGGUGGGAGUACGGACAGAAGAUAGAUGUAAGUCUUCAGAAGAGCGUAAGGGCCUAGACGGGACAUAUAUUAGGGAGGAUAGAUAGAUGGGAGCAGCAUUAUGUAGAGAUUUGAAAGCAAGAACCAGAAUUUUAAAUUGAGCCCUAUAUCUUACAGGAAGCCAAUGUAGGGACUGACAGAAGGGUGAGGCGUGGGAGGUGCGGGCGGACAGAAAGAUGAACCUCGCCGCCACAUUCAUU